rnacentral:rRNA from 1 species
ACUACCGAUUGAAUGGUUUAGUGAGGCUUCCUGACUGGCGCCCAUACUCUGGCAACAGAAGCUGGGAUGCCGGAAAGUUGGUCAAACUUGAUCAUUUAGAGGAAGUAAAAGUCGUAACAAGGUUUCCGUAGGUGAACCUGCGGAAGGAUCAUUACCGACAUUGCGUUUUGCUUGUUGUGUGAACCGUCGUUUGUUAUUCAGGGGUCGGCAAUGCCUGCCGUUAAAUGGCCAUCGGACGCGACCAACGAGGGUCUCCCGAGGACGGGCUGUCUCUCUGUCGCGGCCGCUUGGCCUGCCCCGCCUGUGUUUGGUUUUUCAACCGCAACCUUACGUGUCUUGUAGUCUGAUGUAGGUCAAGCCCUGCCCGGCUCGACCGUGGAAGCAAAAAAACAUUGCCAGAGACAACUUUUGACGGUGGAUCUCUUGGCUCACGCAUCGAUGAAGAACGCAGCCAGCUGCGAUAAGUAGUGUGAAUUGCAGAAUUCAGUGAAUCAUCGAAUCUUUGAACGCAAAUGGCGCUCUUGGGUUCUCCCAGGAGCAUGUCUGUCUGAGUGUCGGAUAUACAUCCAUCGCCGGGGCGCGCUCCGGCGGCGUUGNGGCGUCACGGCACCUCAGGGCCGUGUCCCUCGAAGGGCAGAGAGACUCGCUGUGGUUGGGGGCUGGUUCCCGCAGCGCAUCAGCGGAGGCUAAACGGUGUCAGUGCACUCCUCCGCGCGCUGCCACAGCAAGGUCGCGUGUAAAGCGAAAAAAGAAGGUCGCGUGUAAAGCGUGCACCGUUCAACCUCUCGUGACUUGACCUCAGAUCAGGCAAGGCUACCCGCUGAAUUUAAGCAUAUUAAUAAGCGGAGGAAAAGAAACUAACAAGGAUUCCCUCAGUAACGGCGAGUGAAGCGGGAAGAGCUCAAAUUUGAAAUCUCCGAUGCCUGCAUCGGCGAGUUGUAGUUGCGAGAAGCACUUUCUAGGUGGAUCGGCGGUGCCUAAGUUGCUUGGAACAGCACGUCGCAGAGGGUGACAACCCCGUCUGUGGCGCCGCCGGCCGCCGACGAUGUGCUUUCGAA